ensembl:snoRNA Small nucleolar RNA SNORA76
GCACUGUCUUUGAACCUUUUUGGUCUUCUUUAAUGACCUUUUGGGCCAAGCUACAGUGCUAGAGCAAAGGCUUGUUCAUAACUGGAGCAUUCUGGUAGCACACCCAGACUGCUCUUUUAAAAACAUGUCACAUUA